rnacentral:rRNA from 1 species
GGAGGGGGUUUAGCGUUGUUCGGAAUUACUGGGCGUAAAGCGCACGUAGGCGGACUGGAAAGUUGGGGGUGAAAUCCCAGGGCUCAACCCUGGAACUGCCUCCAAAACUAUCAGUCUAGAGUUCGAGAGAGGUGAGUGGAAUUCCGAGUGUAGAGGUGAAAUUCGUAGAUAUUCGGAGGAACACCAGUGGCGAAGGCGGCUCACUGGCUCGAUACUGACGCUGAGGUGCGAAAGUGUGGGGAGCAAACAGGAUUAGAUACCCUGGUAGUCCACACCGUAAACGAUGAAUGCCCAGUCGUCGGGUAGCAUGCUAUUCGGUGACACACCUAACGGAUUAAGCGUUCCGCCUGGGGAGUACGGUCGCAAGAUUA